UACGGGGGGGGCAAGCGUUGUUCGGAAUUACUGGGCGUAAAGGGCUCGUAGGCGGCCAACUAAGUCGGAUGUGAAAUCCCCAGGCUUAACCUGGGAACUGCAUCCGAUACUGGAUGGCUUGAAUUCGGGAGAGGGAUGCAGAAUUCCAGGUGUAGCGGUGAAAUGCGUAGAUAUCGUGGAGGAAUACCGGUGGCGAAGGCGGCAUCCUGGACCGAGAUUGACGACUGAUGGAGCGAAAAGCUGAGGGGAGACCAAUAGGGG
rnacentral:rRNA from 1 species